UGGUUGAGCCUUAUGGCUCCAAUACUGGGAGACGUGGUCGUAAGACUCCUCGAGAGUCAGACUCUAUUGAGGAGCGAGAGAGGAAACGGCUGCGGGACAUCUUUGCAGAAUCAACUGACGAAGACUCCUUUGAGGGUUUUACUGAGAGAAUGGAGGAAGAGGUGGUUAGCUCAGAGGAGGAUGACAUGGAAUGGACUCGUGUGAGGGAGGAUUUGGGUGUUCCUGGUAAUGAUAGCAUGGGAAGCGACUGGCGGGUUGCAGGAUCGGACCCGUGGACGAGUUGGAGGGAUGGGACGGGAUCCACAGCUGGGGAUGCUGUGGGGCGUAGUCAAAGAUGUUUUAGCUCUGAUGAGGAUGAUGAUGAUGAGGCACCUGGAAUUAGGGUAACACCUGAUAGCGAUGAGGAGUUGUAACUGGCAUAAAAUGGGGUCUUGAAUCCAGGGCUAAUUGCGUUGGGCAAGGUAAUCUGAACGAACGCUUGGGCUCUUGUUGGGAAUUUCCUGAAGACGGGUGUGUUUCGUUUGCUGACUACCUUGGACCUCCGUCGUCUUCUUGACGGACAUUAUUUACCUACUCGGAAUUGACGCUGGACUGGCUGACUGACUGACUGACUGACUGGCUGACUACGACCUUGGACUACCCUCUCUUUGGCUAUCGGAGGAUUUCGUGGAACCUAAAACGCCUGCACCUGGCCUUCGACCUCGGACCGGAUUGGGACCCCGCUGACCGCUGCAACCCUGAUUGAUGUGUUUGGACCCGGAGUUCGCCCGCUGCACGGAGGAGUAACAACUUAGUUGCUCAACCACAGCUGUUGAGUAGCAGAGAGGAAUCUGCUGCCAGUAUUUAUGUUCUAUUGAAUCUUUGUUUACCAGCUUUUGUUUGUUUAAAGUCCCAGGCUGAAGUAAGCAUUUUUGGUUUAACCCGGAUUAAACUCCUGUUUAAUCCGGUUUAGCUUUUGAACCGUUUUUUAGUGACUUUUCAUAUUGAAGGCGAGUGUUUGCCUAGCUCUUUGUUUUUUACGAGCAUUUUUGGUUCUGUAUCUUUAAUAAACUGUGUUGAAUCUUA